UACGGAGGGGCGAGCGUUGUUCGGAAUUACUGGGCGUAAAGGGCGUGUAGGCGGACUGUUAAGUUAGGGGUGAAAUCCCAGGGCUCAACCCUGGAACUGCCUCUAAUACUGGCGGUCUUGAGAUUUGGAGAGGUGUGUGGAAUUCCUAGUGUAGAGGUGAAAUUCGUAGAUAUUAGGAAGAACACCAGUGGCGAAGGCGGCACACUGGCCAACAUCUGACGCUGAGGCGCGAAAGCGUGGGGAGCAAACAGG
rnacentral:rRNA from 1 species